rnacentral:tRNA from 1 species
GGCGGCGUAGCUCAGUUGGUUAGAGCAGCGGAAUCAUAAUCCGCGUGUCGGAGGUUCGAGUCCUCCCGCCGCUACCU